CGAUGACGCAUAGCCGAGUUGAGAGACUGAUCGGCCACAUUGGGACUGAGACACGGCCCAAACUCCUACGGGAGGCAGCAGUAGGGAAUCUUCCACAAUGGACGCAAGUCUGAUGGAGCAACGCCGCGCGAGUGAAGAAGGGUUUCGGCUCGUAAAGCUCUGUUGUUGGUGAAGAAGGACAGGGGUAGUAACUGGCCUUUAUUUGACGGUAAUCAACCAGAAAGUCACGGCUAACUACGUGCCAGCAGCCGCGGUAAU
rnacentral:rRNA from 1 species